rnacentral:rRNA from 1 species
CCCUACGGGGCGCAGCAGUGGGGAAUUUUGGACAAUGGGCGCAAGCCUGAUCCAGCAAUGCCGCGUGCAGGAUGAAGGCCUUCGGGUUGCAAACUGCUUUUGUACGGAACGAAACGGUUCGCUCUAAUAAAGUGAGCUAAUGACAGUACCGUAAGAAUAAGCACCGACUAACUACGUGCCAGCAGCCGCGGUAAUACGUAGGGUGCGAGCGUUAAUCGGAAUUACUGGGCGUAAAGCGUGCGCAGGCGGUUAUAUAAGACAGAUGUGAAAUCCCCGGGCUCAACCUGGGACCUGCAUUUGUGACUGUAUAGCUAGAGUACGGUAGAGGGGGAUGGAAUUCCGCGUGUAGCAGUGAAAUGCGUAGAUAUGCGGAGGAACACCGAUGGCGAAGGCAAUCCCCUGGACCUGUACUGACGCUCAUGCACGAAAGCGUGGGGAGCAAACAGGAUUAGAUACCCGAGUAGUCCC